GCAAUGUCGAAGCAAAAAGUUCAUUUAAAGGAAGAUGCUAUAAUUGUGGCCACAAAGGCCACAAAAUGAAUGAAUGCAAGAAAAAGUUUAAUCGUAUGAGAAGAAGACGACGUUGCUAUAUAUGCAAAAGAUUGGGCCAUGUUGCCAAGCAGUGUAGGGAAGGAAACCUACCAGUCAAAAACGUGCUGAACAAUUGCAGCAACUGUACAAUAUACCUUACAAGGAAAUAAAUUUUAAAUAUUUUUUUUUGUCAU